AUUAAACGCUGGCGGCAGGCUUAACACAUGCAAGUCGAGCGGGGGAAGGUAGCUUGCUACCGGACCUAGCGGCGGACGGGUGAGUAAUGCUUAGGAAUCUGCCUAUUAGUGGGGGACAACAUCUCGAAAGGGAUGCUAAUACCGCAUACGUCCUACGGGAGAAAGCAGGGGAUCACUUGUGACCUUGCGCUAAUAGGUGAGCCUAAGUCGGAUUAGCUAGUUGGUGGGGUAAAGGCCUACCAAGGCGACGAUCUGUAGCGGGUCUGAGAGGAUGAUCCGCCACACUGGGACAGAGACACGGCCCAGACUCCUACGGGAGGUAGCAGUGGGGAAUAUUGGACAAUGGGGGGAACCCUGAUCCAGCCAUGCCGCGUGUGUGAAGAAGGCCUUAUGGUUGUAAAGCACUUUAAGCGAGGAGGAGGCUCUUUUGGUUAAUACCCAAGAUGAGUGGACGUUACUCGCAGAAUAAGCACCGGCUAACUCUGUGCCAGCAGCCGCAGUAA
rnacentral:rRNA from 1 species